AUUGAACGCUGGCGGCAUGCCUUACACAUGCAAGUCGAACGGUAACAGGUCUUCGGAUGCUGACGAGUGGCGAACGGGUGAGUAAUACAUCGGAACGUGCCCGAUCGUGGGGGAUAACGGAGCGAAAGCUUUGCUAAUACCGCAUACGAUCUACGGAUGAAAGCAGGGGACCGCAAGGCCUUGCGCGAACGGAGCGGCCGAUGGCAGAUUAGGUAGUUGAUGGGAUAAAAGCUUACCAAGCCGACGAUCUGUAGCUGGUCUGAGAGGACGACCAGCCACACUGGGACUGAGACACGGCCCAGACUCCUACGGGAGGCAGCAGUGGGGAAUUUUGGACAAUGGGCGCAAGCCUGAUCCAGCAAUGCCGCGUGCAGGAUGAAGGCCUUCGGGUUGUAAACUGCUUUUGUACGGAACGAAAAGGCUCUGGUUAAUACCUGGGGCUCAUGACGGUACCGUAAGAAUAAGCACCGGCUAACUACGUGCCAGCCGCCGCAGUAAGAC
rnacentral:rRNA from 1 species